GGAGUGGCCGGGGCCGGUGCCCCAGCCGGUCUUCAAAACCGGUGAGGCGUGGCAACCCCAUGCUGGGAAGGUUCGACUCCUUCGCCACUCCGC
rnacentral:tRNA from 1 species